GUAGAAGGUCGCCAUGUGAUCCCGGGAAGAGAGGAUGCAUGAGGCUGGUGUCCUUGCUUUAUCCUAACUUUAACCAAGAAUGGCUAUAAAGAAAGGUGUGGAUGUGCCUUUACAAAAUGGAAGAAUGAAGGAGCACCAGUCCUCUAGGUAGUCUUCAACUCCAACAGUCCACACAGUUCCCCUCUAAACCAGUUUGUCAUCUCACCUCUCUUCAUUUUCUAUGCCAAUUGGCCUAGCUUAGAGCAGGAUGGGAUCACCACCCUUGGAUCAAACAGGCCUAGAAAAACUGGGAGGCCUAGUGAUGCCUCAGCAUUCAUGAUGAGACAAUGACACACCCCAUGGGUCACAGGCCAGGUCCUGGGUCUCUACUACCUAUUAAAGUCCUACUGAUUGCUCUACCUGGACCUCAGAGAGUUAGAGUUUGGAGGUUAUAAUUUGAAUAAAC
rnacentral:lncRNA from 1 species